UUCGACUUUUCCCAAAAACAUAGCUUCUAGAAGUAUUUAGAAGUAAUUCCUGCCCAGUGAAAGAAAUUUUAAACGGCCACAUUUGUGCUAAGGUAGGGUAAUAAAUUGUCCUUUUAUUGAGGACUGGUAUGAAAGGAAAAACGAAGCUCAACUGUCUCCUUUAAUUAAGUAAGAAUUUAGUCUUCAAGUGAAAAAACAUGAAUAAAAUUAAAGGGCGAGAAGCCCCUAUAGAUUUUAAGUAUAAUUGUGUGUUGAUUUAAUAAAAGAAAGAUAAAGAAUAAAGUACUUUAAUUGGGGCACCGUAGGAACAUAAAAUCUCCUAUAGAAAAAAUUUAAAAUGUUAAAACAAGAAAUCCUCAAAGAGAAAAAGAAAAACUACCUUAGGGAUAACAGCGUAAUUUUUCUAAAGAAAUCUAAUCGAAAGAAAAGUUUGCCACCUCCAUGUUGGACUAAGGCAACUGAAUGGUGAAAAAACUGUUAAAAGUGGGCCCGGUCGGCCCACUUACCUUACAUGAUUUGAGUUCAUUACGUAA
rnacentral:rRNA from 1 species